rnacentral:lncRNA from 1 species
UGUCUCCCCUCCAUGCUGUUAAUCAGCUGCUUUUUCUACUGCCUGUUUUGAGUUGGGAUCAUCAUCAUGCCAGCUGAAUGCAAAGCACUUAUUCAUAUAAUAUCGCAAGUGUUAUUUUCAAUUUUGUUCUUCAGAUCUCCCAGCAAUCCAUAUGCCUUUUGAAUCACCAGUGUGAAGUAAGCAGAGGUUUUUCACAGAUGGACAAGUGUGCACAAUUAAUUGAGAACCUAGCAAACGGUAUGAAUAAUUGCAGUUCUCUUAGAGGGUCACUGCUCCAUCUCACACACCUUCAAAUAAUCGAGGAGCAUCAACAGCUCUGACCUUGGGGAGCAAUUAGCAUGUGCCUUGCAAUAUAGCUGAAAAUUGUAAGAAAAAAGGGAACUCCAGGACUGCAGAUGCUGCAUUACAGAAAAAGCAGACUCUUUGUUCAGAAGAUGAGAAGAUGAUCUAGAGAUUCUUCUUAGUGGACUAUAUUGAAGAGAUGUUGAAG